CUCAUUGUGAGAAAACAACUCAGCAGCCAGCUCCCAUCUGAAAGGAAAUUCAUUCCAUGCUACCACAAACAAAGCAAACCCAAAGAAAAGAAAAACAAAGACCCACUAGCUAGGUCACCGAAGUCACUGAAUAUUUGAGUGUCACCUACAGGGAUAUGUACUAAAAGCAAUCCUUAAUCCCUAUCUAAAAAUAUUUUUUAAAUUAAAAUUUAUAAUCCCACCCCACACAUUAUCAUCAUGAAUCCUGAAAAUGGGAUCCGCAGCAAGCCUAAUUUCCCUCUUCAAUUACUAGAAAAAAAGCACCACCUUCAAGAACCACAACCUGAUCAUCAACCUUCCUCCUCCUCUAAUCCUCCCAAGAAACCCCCUACUAAACGCAUCUCCACCAAGGACCGCCACACCAAAGUCGAAGGCCGUGGCCGCCGGAUCCGCAUGCCUGCCACCUGCGCUGCCAGGGUUUUUCAGCUCACUCGUGAACUCGGCCACAAAUCUGACGGUGCAACUAUCGAGUGGUUACUACAACAAGCUGAACCUGCUGUCAUCGCUGCCACUGGUACCGGUACCAUUCCCGCCAACUUCACUUCCCUUAACAUCUCUCUUCGCAGCUCUGGGUCUUCCAUCUCCGCCUCUCACCAUCUAAGGAACACGUAUUUGAAUCCCAACUUCACUGUCCAUCAACAGCUACGCAUCAGGAAUGAAUUGGAAAGAAACAUAGUCGUCGAUGAAGCUUCUCAGCAGCAGCGAAGAAUUCUUUUUCCUUCGGACAAUUCAUUAAGCUUUAGUUCUAUUAAUUCAACUAAUAAUGUAGGUGGGAAUUUGAAUACCGCUGUUGCUUUACAAGGAUCAGCUGCUAAUAAACAAGAAGUACGCGGAGGCGGCGACACUUCUUGUCUAGAUGUCACCGAUGGGGAGACUAGUCUAGGGAGCAAGCGGAGGCCGGAACAUGAAUUAGGUCAUCAGAUGGGGAGCUAUUUGAUGCAAUCAACUAGUACAGGGGCAAUUCCGACGACUCAUAGCCCGAUCCCGUCAACAUUUUGGAUGGCGUCUAAUAAUCCUAGCAGCAGUAACCAAGUGAUAACCGGUGACCCCAUGGUGACAUUUCCAUAUUUUAGUGCUAGUACCAAUAUGUAUAGGGGUUCUAUGUCUGGUGGAUUGCAUUUUAUGAAUUUUCCUGCGCCCAUGGCUCUCUUGCCAGGCCAACAAUUGGGUUCAGCAAUGAGCGGUGGUGAUGGUGGCAGUAGUACUGUCACUGAAAGUCACUUAGGUGUGCUGGCCGCGUUUAACGCUUACAGGCCAAUUAUGGGUGGUGGUGGCGCCACGGAGUCUCCGGUUAGUGGGUCAAACCCACACAAUGGAGGAGAGGACGGGCACAAUACAAGAAGCUAAUUGAGCAUUCCUAGAUAAGAAAUUGCAAGCAAGCAUGCUGAGAUGGAGAUUGGAGAAGCCCACGAGUUUGAUUAAGCCAAGCUCUAUUGCCUUAAUUAGACUAAAUUGCAUUUACUCACAGGAUCAUUCCUGCUCAUUUUCAUAUAAGGGAGCUGCUGGGUCUUGAUGAGUGAGGACAAUGUGCCACGCUCUCCCAACCCCACAUGCAGUCGUACUCAACUCUUCAUUGAUCUGGCCGACUGCAUACAUGUGGGGAUCUGGUCUGGGACAUUUCAAAGUUAUCAGUUGGCUUUACUAGCCUCUGUUUAAUUUGUGAAAUCGUGAAUUACAUAUUGGUUUGAAUGGCUUCAUACAUUAUUCUUUGCUGCUAUUGCUAUCUGUAGUAAACUUCCUUCCCCAUUUUCUCUGGCAAGUUUUAUGCAUAUAGUUCUGUCUCAAACACCGGAGCGUUCAGUUAUAUAUGUCUGAACACAUUUGCCUUAAAGGUCAAGCAGUAGAAAAUAUUUGAAUUCUUUUUUUUUUAAAGAAAA
rnacentral:misc_RNA from 1 species